rnacentral:misc_RNA from 1 species
UCCGAGUUGACCCCGGCAGUCUCUUAUGAGUCCCCACCAUAACGUGCUGGCAACAUAAGACGAGGGUUGCGCUCGUUGCGGGACUUAACCCAACAUCUCACGACACGAGCUGACGACAACCAUGCACCACCUGUACACCGACCUUACGGGGCAACCAUUUCUGGAAGUUACCGGUGUAUGUCAAGCCUUGGUAAGGUUCUUCGCGUUGCAUCGAAUUAAUCAGCAUGCUCCGCCGCUUGUGCGGGCCCCCGUCAAUUCCUUUGAGUUUUAGCCUUGCGGCCGUACUCCCCAGGCGGGGCGCUUAAUGCGUUAGCUGCGGCACAGAGAUCGUGGAAGAUCCCCACACCUAGCGCCCACCGUUUACGGCGUGGACUAC